UCAUUUUUUUAAUAAGAUAGAUUUGAAAUUCGUUUUUAUUUUUUUGAUUAAUUUAUAUUAUUAUUCAUUAAGGGUAUAAACGAUAUUAACCGCUCUAACUUUUAACGUGAGAGCUCCGUUGAAAAAUUUUACUUUGCGAAUAAUAGUAUAGAUAUUUUUUUUUUGAUUUUUUAAAUAAAAAAUGUGGUCAAAGACGAAAUAACCCUUAAUGAAAUAGCUUAAUUACAAGGAUCCAACUCUAAAGACCCGACCGACCCAAACCCUACUCGGUUUAAUCCGGAUCCUAAUCUAAACGACGGCGUUCCCUCCUCAAUCGUCCCUAUCUCUCUUACUUUUCUGAUUUCACGUCUUCUUCAUGUUCUUCCCAAUUCUCCCUCUCUUUCUGGCGACGGCGAAGCGAAACCGUAGAGAACCAAACCGGACCUCUUCAACGAACUCAAUUCAUCGUACAGAAGCGAAAAAAACAUCACACAAUAAACAUGACCACUUUGUGUUCUUCUCCAUCUUCCCCGCGAUUCUUCGCCACCAAAUCUGAACUCUACAAAGCUCCUUUUUUAUCCUUCUCCAUUCUAAAACGAUGUCAUUCUCGUCCUCCCCGUAAUCUAAACUCUAAUGACUCAACUUAUCGCGACGGCAAUCUUUUUACAAUCUGCACUUCGUCUUCCUCUGAAGACCAACGUCUAAUCUUAACCUAGACGUCCACCGUAUCUCCCCCUAGCUACUUCCCGCUUCAAGCUCUUUCUCGAUUCGGGGAAAGACGCUGUCUCCGACUUGCAAACUUUAGUCUCGCUAGACGUGCAGGAAAUCAACUAUGCAGUUUGUUGGAGGUGUGGUUUCGAUUGGUGUUUGGUUUUUCAGUUAGGAUUUUUGUAUGUUUGUGAACAGCUUUUAAGGGUGGUUUACAAGGGAGACCCAAGUUGGUAGUUAGGAGAGAUAGAAGUCUUGGUGGGAAGGAAGUGGUUGUAGCUGUUGAUAACAUUGGUUCAUCUUCAAGCUCCGUAGCUUCUUCUGGUCAGGCUUCUAAAAAUAACUCUGUAGCUAGAACCCUCAAGCUUUGAGCUCAGAACAAUUUUCCGAAAUGGUGGCCUGCUUCAUUGCCUAGACACAGCUUGGAAGUAGACAAAGAAGACUAUCAGAGAGAAGUCAACAUAAUCGUUAGGGGUUGUUUCUAUAAACUCCUUCAAUGUCAUCUCUUUUGGAUUUUCAUCACAAGCUUUUGCUUAAAGACAACUUCUUUUGUCUGUUUUGUUUCAGCUGAAGAAGCUGAUAAAACAGAGCAAGGAAUUAUGGAAGAAGAGGGAAGAAACUGAGAAGUCAUAAGCCAAUUAAGUUGUAAACCUGAGAGUCUCUGCGUUUCACUUUAACGAUAUUAGCAACAUGGUGUAAGAGACUUGUGAAGCUUGAGCUUAGUGGUUGUGAAGGUAGCUUUGAUGGGAUUAAAGCCAUUGGGAAAUGUUGUGACCACAGACCUGCUGAGAAUCUCGGCUUGUAGAAAGGUGGAUCCUUGUACUGGACCAGAGAAGUUGAUGAGGUCUUGCCCGGCUCUCGAGAGUUUGCAACUCAAAAAGUGUUGUUUGAAUGAUAAAGAAGGGACGAGAGCUUCUUGGGGUAUUAUAUUUUAUCUUCGGUGGAUCCUUGUCCUGGACCAGAGAAGCGUUGGGAGCUUCUUGAUGUUUUAUAUCAAUUAGGUACAGUAUGAUGUUUUGCAUAAAAUUAUAGUAUUGAGAAAACUUAUUGUUGAUUUUAUUUUUGUUGUUAUGUUUGGAAAACCAAAGAAACGUUUGUGAUAUUUAUUACAUGAAUAAAAAGCUGUGCUUUGGAUGUCAAAAACAUGGUAUGUGUUGCAAAAUACAUGUUUUGAUCACUGGAUUUAGUAGGUUUAUUAUGUGCAAAAAAUGAGUUAGUUGGACAAUUUACCCAUGUAAAAUGGGUUAGUUAGGCGGAGUCUUUGAUUGAGUUCUUAAGGCAGCCAAAAUCUGUUAGUAGUAACGGUGGAAGAUCGUCCCAACUGUGAGAUGAUUACACAUGUAAAAUACCUUGUGAUAAACUUAUAAUAAAAAAAUUAUACAUAUAAUAAUAAAACAAUUAUACAUAUAAUAAUAAAACAAUUACACAUGUAAAACGUGCUGCAGUUAUAUACAUAAAUUUAAUAUUCCAAUUAUACUUAGUAAUUCAAAGUAAUCUUCAAGGUAGUAGUAAUACUACCUUACACAUAGUAAUACUUUGGCAAAUUUAAGUUUUAUUAGUAAAACAGUGUCCAAAUGAAAUAUUUUGUAGUAAAACCAAUGAUUUUAUACAAUGAAUAUCAUUAAGAAAAAGUAUUACAUAAACAGUUAACGAGAAAUAAGUAUUUUUAUAGGUUCUUCCUACUAUAACCUUAUGAUUCACAUAACAACCAUGAAAGUUAAAGAGUUAUUUUGGGAAAAUGAUAAAUAUUCUUAAAACUAUAGAAAAUAAUCAUCUAAAUAAUUAUAAUAAUCUUAUUUACUAUAUACAUAGUCUACUAAUAAAUAAUAUAUUAGAUAUAUAUGUUAAAUAUACGUACUACUUGCAAUAUAUAGGAGUUACAAAUUACACAUAAUUAAAACCAAGUAAUCCUAGUAAUCCGAAUUACACAUAAUAAAUUCAGUAAUCAUAUUAUUCUGAUUACACACAAUCAACCCAGUAAUCCUAUUAAUCCGAUGACACACAAUAAAAACAUAAUAAAGAAAACCUCUAUUCUGGAUUUUCUCACACUUAAUUAGCAGCUUGUCUUAUUCCUCUCCAUGCCGUUGUGUAUGAUAUAUCCAUACCAAUCUUACGUGUAACCAAAUCGAUUAGAGUAUUGGGAAUUAGUGUGUCAAACCUAAGACAUAAUUAAAUUAGAAAAUAAAUUCAAUAACAAAAUUAAAAAAUAGAAAAAAUAAAAUAUAAGAUCACUAAAUUUAUAUAAAACAAUAUAUUUUUUAUUUUAUAAUUUAUGGAAAAUUUUAAUCCAAUCAUAAAUAUAAAAUAUCAAAAUAAAUAAAAGAAAUAAGUUUAAUUUUAAAGGUGUAAACCAAAAAAUAUUUACUUGUUUAUGAUCAUUGAUUUUUGAAAUAUUAUUUCAGUUAUUUGUUUUAUUAUUUGAAUGUUUAUAAAAUUAUUACUAAAAUACAAUCAAAAUUAAAAAAAAAAUGGAAUGUAUAAAAUGAGAUAAUUUUUUACAAAAUUUGAACUUGUGUUAAAUAUAUUGGUAAUAUCUUCCUUUUAGUAAAAUAAUUUUUUUAUAAUAUAAUUAUGUGAAUAAUAUCCAUUUUUCACAAUACUAUUUUUAAUUUCAGAAUCAUAAAAUAUAAUUAUAUUAUAUUAUAUUAUAAUUUGUCCACUAAAUCUCUUUUUAUUACUAUAUUUAUCAAUAAUAUAAUUAACAAAAACAAAAUAUUUAUUAAAAUAUUAGUAUAAAACAAUAUGUAAAUUGAUUUAUGAAUUAUGUAAUUUUAAUGAAAUUAUUUGACACAAAUAUUUACAGAAACAAAAAAAAAUAUCAUAAAUAAUUAAAGAUCAUAAAUAAAUAAAUAAUUAAAAAAUGGAAAUGGAAUGGAAUUUCUAUAAAUAUUUUAUUUUUGAUUUUAAGUUAAUUGAUAAUUAAAACGUUAUAUAAUUUUUAUAUUAUAAAAUUAAUUUUAAAAUUUAAAUAUAAAAAUUAAAUAAGAAAUUAUUACAAAAGUAAGAAAAUGAAACGAAAAAGAAACAAAACAAUGAAAUAGAAAAAAAAGAAACCAAUCUUUUGUUGGCAAAAAAAAUGUGAAAAGGGCUGUUUAGUUGUUAAAAAAAAAGAGGAAAGAGGAUCCACAGUACUUUUCUGUGGUAGUGGGGUCCAUCGCAGGGGGAAAGAGAAACUACAAAAGAAAAGAAAAAAGAAAAAGAAAAGGAAAGGGUAAUAAUUGGAAGUAAAUUAUUGGAGGGGUAGUAAGAAAAAGUAAGGGGUAAGUAGAAUGGUUUUUUUGCCAUAGGGGCAUUUUGAGUUAAAGUCUGCGGUAGGAAGAGAGGAAGCCAUAGAGAAGAAGAGACGGUUCUUACAGCACCUAGACACCCUAAAUGGGUCUCUUAAUUUUUUUAAAAAUAAAUGUGGUCUAAAAGACUCAACUAAGAGACAUCAAUAUUUAGGUGCUCCAAUGCAAAUCUCUUAAUUAAAGGUUCUUAAAAAAAUUAUUAAACAAUUCUUUUUUAAAAAAGUAAAAUUUAUUUAUUAAAUAAAACAUAAUAAAAAUAACAUUUUAAACAUUGAAUUUAAAAUAAAACAUAAAAAGAGCGAUUAAUAAAAUAAACGAGAAUAAUUUAAAAGAAGCAUCCGAUCUCAAUUGUUGUAUUUAUCACGUCUAAAUUUGCACCAUAUAUGUUCAAUCAAAUCAUUUUUCAGUUGUUGAUGCAUUUGUCUAUCACGAAUUCUAGUUUGAACACCCAUCAUAUUAGCGAUAUUUGUAAAGAUAUCGGUAGAAUACGUGAAAUCCACAUGUGAACUUCCGAUGUUUGAAACAUCAAAUUGAGUAUAUCCUUAGUCAAGUUCUUGAUCCUUCUAUUCAUUAAGUUUUGUUUCCAUACUGCUAUUGAAUAUGAAAUAAUAAUAAAUAUUAAUAUGGGUUUCACAAAUCUUGAUAACCUCUCCCAUUUGUUUCAUCCAAGUUCAAGAACUUGGUUCAUAUUAUCUAGUUCUGAACUGCUUUCUUUUACUUGUUCCUUACGUCAUUGGUCUCAGAAUUUUUCACAUUUUCUAAGAAAACCAAAAGGUGUCUAAACACCGAACCGUAUAUGAAUAUAUACAAUAAAUAAUCUUGGCGAUAAAAAUGUUUGACAUGAGGUACCUCAUGAUAAUAAUCUUUAUGAUGAUGAAGAGAUCCAAAAGAAAAAAAAAACAUCUAUGUUUCUACUAAAGUGGCAGAAACCAGAUCAGGAGGAACAGAAGCAAGAUCAAGCACCCAAGACUCUCUCACACCAUCUCCAGAUUGAUCUUCCGGGAGCUUCCUAGCCGGGAUCUGAUGAGAGAGCAAGGCCGCAACAUCUUCUUUCCGCCUGACCGCAUUACACCCAGGCGUAAUCACGUCUCUUAAACAAGUUAUCAUUAACCUUCUCCAAAUACGCCACACUCAAGCCAUACGCAUCGCAAUACAUAGUCAAGCAUACGACAAUCUCAUACCCACCCUCUGGUCUUUCUUCUCUGGUGACAUGUAUCUGUCUCUGAGUAGACAGCCCAAACCGAGCCUUUCUUUGGAUAUAUUUGGUAUACUUCUCGUGCAACCCUUUCUAGAUCACAUCACAUUAAAAAGAAGAAGGUGCUUACCAUCUUGAAGCGACAUUGACGAUCAACAUAACUUUCCCCUUAUACUUGUUCAAUGAAACAUCAUUCCCAUCAAUGUCCUGUUUCCACAAACAUUGAGUCUCAUUAUGUUUCAAAAUUACAGAUUUAACAAAGAAUACCUCCAUUGAAGUCACUGAACCAAUUUCGUUUACCUAAGCUUCAUCAUAAUUAGAAGAUUCUUUUUUGGUUUUGAUUUAGUUAGAAGGAUAAAGACCAAAAAGACCAAACCUUUACAGUGAAAUUGUGAACGGUCUUCUCAGCAGCAGCUCUAGCUUGAACAUUGAAAAUUCGAGACUUGAAGAGAAACCCUGGAUUAAUCGGAGAUUUUAGAGAAACCGGGGCUUCUACCUCUAGUGGUAAAGGGCUUACAGCUGUGAGUACCGCCACCUGGGUUCGAAUCCUGGCUACUGGGGAAUUAACAUUUCGGCAUCGCCAGGGACAGAGGACCGACACAUGACAACACGUGACUAGUCUGGAUCAUUUAUGUAGGGCCAGGAUACCUCUGUAUAAUUCAAAAAAAAAAA